GUGUGUGUGUGUGUGUAGGUUUAACAGGGACUGGCGGUACCAUAAGGAGGAGCGGGUUUGGAUCACUCGGGCUCCGGGGAUGGAGCCCACGCUGAAGACCAACGCCUACGAGAGAGGGACCUACUACUUCUUCGACUGCCUCAACUGGAGGAAGGUGGCGAAGGAGUUUCACCUGGAGUACGAAAAACUAGAAGAGCGGCCUCACGUUCCCUCCACGUUCAACUACAAUCCCGCCCAGCAGGCCUUCUGAUUGGCUCUACCUCCUCCUCCUGCCUGCUUGCCUGCCUGCCAUUGGUCCUCCUGGAUGUCAAUCAUCACCUUCUAGCCCCGGCCCCUUUUAGGUUUCUCCACCUGCACACACUUACAGUGAAUCUGGCCAGGAGACGACUUCCUGCUCUCUCUAAACACUGAUAGACUUUAUGAUUUUAACUUUUGUUUGUUCCUUACCUCAUUCUCUGUUUACUUUUUAUUUUAUUUCCCAACCCCCCCUCCAUGUGGACUUAACGCCAGCACAGUACAACACACACACUGUAAAUAACUGUCCAUCUGAUCCUGUGAUUCCUCUUAAAAAAUUGACUAUUUUUGUCUAGAGAAGCUUUUAAAAAAAAAUUAAUUUUAAACAAUAAAAUCACCUGUCAGCUGGAUAAUUAUUUCACACACUGUGUCACAGCUCUCUGAUCUUUGGCAGGAACAAUAUCUCCAGCAGCAUCACACACACACACACAUCAGCAGACAGCGGAGAGUCAGGAGAGGAAAUGCAAUGUACAUUGUAGCACUAUUUCAUAAUAAAAGAAGAAAAAAUAUCUUUUUUUGGUUUGUUCAUAUCAUGUGAAGAUUUGUGUUAAUUUUUAAAGAUUUAUUUUGUUUAUUUUUUAAUUAAUGAGGUCAAGUUUAGCAGCCAGAAACACAGAGACUCACUGAGCGGGAUGUUUGACAUUUAAAAUGAUUUGCACUUGUUUUUUGAACAUCCUUUAAAAAGUGGGAUGUGUCAUAAUGCCUCUGAUUGGAUUUAACAGAACAAAUGUUUAAAUGUUCGCACAUCCCUUUCACAUGGACGCAGCUCUUUCCCCGUUUUCGCCUUUUAAUUUCAUUUUUAAUUUCAUUAUUAAAGCUCCCUGUUUCUCCUCC